CAAAUCCCACCAGACCAUGAGGAGGGAGUUUGGGGGUAGGUGAAUUGGGCUCCCACAUUUUAGACUCUCCUCUCCAACCCAGCCCCAGUCUCUCAUGAAAGGAGAGAUCUCUUGUCUCCCUCAGGAAGACAAAAGUGACCCCUCCCCUGCCCAGUCACAUGGAUGGAGCACUAAGUUAGGCUAAUUCAUUCUUCUCAUCCCCUCUAGAAGUUCCAGUUUCCUCAUCUAUACAGUGGAUGGUUGGGCUUGGGUGGUCUCUCAGGGGAUGUCAGAAUCUGACACUCCUGGGUGGGUGCUCUAGCCACAGCCCCCCUCCACAUCCCAAAUCUACAAACAAAACAAUUCCCCAAAGCUCUGACCCCAGAGCUCCAGGAAGGCCCAGCAGACACGGGACAAUUGGGCCUUUGUUGGUUGCCAUGGCACCUGGCUGGGUUGGACAAGGCGGCUCUGUGCUGUCUGCCUGGAGCUCAGCUUCCCCCACUCCCACACACCCAUCUCUUUCACUCUCCUCCAGCGCAAAGGCCAUGCACCCCUCAGCCAGAGGGUAGGAAGGGACGGAAUGUGAGCGAGCGGAUGGUGCCUGCGGAGGACACACCCAGGCUGGCCGCAUGGAUAUGCAUCUGACAUUGGGGUGCCCCUGCCUGGGACGCAGCUGACUGCCUUUGUAGGCAGGUCGGGGGCUACCCCUCAGACCAGAGUCCCCCACCAGGGCAUCUUCUAAGAAGACAGCAAGGGUGCCACUAGGCUGCUCUGCUGCUUUGCAUCACCCUCAGGUGAGGGCUCACCUCAGAGGCUGCUAAAGACCAGGAACCAGACACCCGAGGCAGAUGGACAAACUGAGGGUCCGCAAAUGACUCAUCCAUUUAUGCGAUGGAGCUUGCACUGGAAUCCAGCAACCAGAUGAAAAAGGAAGAUUCUCCAGCAGCAGUGAAGACUUCAGGGGAAGACUCUUCCCCCACCUCCCAAAGAGCGGGCACUAUGACAAGAAAAAGGAGAAAGGACGUGGCAAACUAAAACCAGACACCACUACGGAAUCUAAAUGUAGCCGGACUUGGCCCAUGUCUCUAAAUGUUGGUCAGUGACCCUCUUUGAGAAACCAAUAAAAAAGUUUAGGCUCUC